AGGACGAACGCUGGCGGCGUGCCUAAUACAUGCAAGUCGAACGAACUGUGGAAAGCUUGCUUUCAGGGUUAGUGGCGAACGGGUGAGUAACACGUAAGUAACCUAGCUAUUAGACGAGGAUAACUACUGGAAACGGUAGCUAAGACUGGAUAUGAUAGAAAUAUUUAAAGGAUGCUAAGGCAUCGCUAAUAGAGGGGCUUGCGGCGCAUUAGCUAGUUGGUAGGGUAAAAGCCAACCAAGGCGAUGAUGCGUAGCCGACCUGAGAGGGUGACCGGCCACACUGGGACUGAGACACGGCCCAGACUCCUACGGGAGGCAGCAGUAGGGAAUCUUCGGCAAUGGACGAAAGUCUGACCGAGCAACGCCGCGUGAGUGAAGAAAGUUUUCGGAUUGUAAAGCUCUGUUAUUAGGGAAGAAAGGCUCUAGGAGGAAAUGCUUAGGGAUUGACGGUACCUAAUGAGGAAGCCACGGCUAACUACGUGCCAGCAGCGGC
rnacentral:rRNA from 1 species